ensembl:lncRNA LINC00428 long intergenic non-protein coding RNA 428
AGAGUCUAUCAUCUACGUAGAACUGAAGAUGACAGAAGACACCAAAGGAGGACGGGGGCUUCCAGGAAGAGCCAGUAAGAUGUGCUGAGUAGGAAGAUGUGAAGAAAAUUGUUGAACAUGUCUGACAAUAGAAGACCUAAGGCCUAAGAAGUCCAUUUCAAUGAAUCACAAAAGAAAUCAAAGAACAGAAUUUCUCUCUUUUGAAGAGAGAAUAAUUGCUUUAUUAA